rnacentral:rRNA from 1 species
CCCUUAGAUGUUCGGGGCCGCACGCGCGCUACACUGAAGGAAUCAGCACGUCUUUCUCCUUGUCCGAAAGGACUGGGUAACCCGCUGAACCUCCUUCGUGCUAGGGAUUGGGGCUUGUAAUUCUUCCCCAUGAACGAGGAAUUCCCAGUAAGCGCGAGUCAUAAGCUCGCGUUGAUUACGUCCCUGCCCUUUGUACACACCGCCCGUCGCUACUACCGAUUGGAUGGUUUAGUGAGAUCCUCGGAUUGGUCCCGGCGCGGCCUCUGGUCGUGCCGGAGUGCCGAAAAGAAUGUCGAACUUGAUCAUCUAGAGGAAGUAAAAGGCGUAACA